CAGUCGCCGCGGGAAUACGUAGGGGGCAAGCGUUAUCCGGAUUCAUUGGGCGUAAAGCGCUCGUAGGCGGUCUGUUAGGUCGGGAGUUAAAUCCGGAGGCUCAACCUCCGUUCGCUCCCGAUACCGGCAGACUUGAGUUUGGUAGGGGAAGGUGGAACUCCUAGUGUAGCGGUGGAAUGCGCAGAUAUUAGGAAGAACACCAGUGGCGAAGGCGGCCUUCUGGGCCAUAACUGACGCUGAGGAGCGAAAGCUAGGGGAGCAAACAGGAUUAGAUACCCGCGUAGUCCCUGUCUCUUAUACC
rnacentral:rRNA from 1 species